rnacentral:tRNA from 1 species
GGCAGGGUAAGCUAAUAAAGCUAUUGGACUCAUAACCCAAAGAUAAAGAACUCUUUCUCUGCCA